CACGUAGGGCGCAAGCGUUGUCCGGAAUUAUUGGGCGUAAAGAGCUCGUAGGCGGUUUGUCGCGUCUGCUGUGAAAACUGGAGGCUCAACCUCCAGCCUGCAGUGGGUACGGGCAGACUAGAGUGCGGUAGGGGAGAUUGGAAUUCCUGGUGUAGCGGUGGAAUGCGCAGAUAUCAGGAGGAACACCGAUGGCGAAGGCAGAUCUCUGGGCCGUAACUGACGCUGAGGAGCGAAAGCAUGGGGAGCAAACAGG
rnacentral:rRNA from 1 species